rnacentral:sRNA from 1 species
UUUUAGCCCUGAUAGAAGCGGUUACCCCACAGCAAGCGGUUGGAUCAGGAUGAAAGCGAUGGAGCGAGGAGUAUGAGCGGAUAGCAGGAAUAAGC